UUCCUCCUGACCACUUUUAACCAAAGGAUUGAUAAGAGGCUUGGAAAGGGAACAGAAUGGAUUUGUGAUCACCCAAUUGUGGUUUCCAGUAUUAUCUCUGUCACUUACAAGUGUGUGACCUCCGUCAAGUCAUUUACAGACUCUGAUUCUCAGUUUUCUCAUUCAGAGAAUUGCGUUAAGGGUAUCUAACUGGAAGAGUCUGGGCGAUGAUCGAUAACAGUAAAUUUGGGCACUUGAUCGGCGUUCAAAGUUAUCACCAUCAUUAUGACCUUCCCGGAGCUGCAAAUACUCCCCAAUAAUACCAAGUAAGCAACUGCAAAGACCCAGGGGUGGGAACCAGAAGUGGGUCCUGAACGUUAGAGGAGAGAUACCAGAGCUGCCUUGGACAGAGCGCAGGAUCCCCUGUUAGCUGAAAAACCAAUUGGGAAGCUUGACUGAGGAACAUCGGAGAUCCAGUCCCAGAGCCAGUGGCAGCUGGCCCCAUGCCUGGUUAUGCAGUUGUCUGGAUCCCUCUUUACAACCCUUGCACCAGUAGCCAGGCACACACCCUACAGAGAAAAGAAGUCUCUUGGCUUAGAACCGGACCAUCUCAAGAGGAAACAUCCAAAGAAAUCGACUUCAGAAGAUCCCAGAUUACACUCUUGGGUGCCCCAAAGAUUUGGAGGAAAUAGCAAGAAAACUGGAAUUAGGAGUGGACCCUCAAGACAUGACUGAAUUGCUGGAAUCUCAUGGUAAAAUGUUAACAGAUGAAGAGUUGAUUCUUAUGGAUGAGCAAAAAAAAAAAAAAAAAUGGUUAUUGAUAUAGAAACUUCUCCUGGUGAAGAUGCUGUGAAGAUUAUUGAAGCUACAACAAAGGACUUUACAUAAAAUUAAUUGGUAAAAACAGUGGCAGGUUUUG